rnacentral:rRNA from 1 species
GAGCGGCGAACGGGUGAGUAACACGUGGGUGAUCUGCCUUGCACUCUGGGAUAAGCCUGGGAAACUGGGUCUAAUACCGGAUAUGACCAUGGGAUGCAUGUUUUGUGGUGGAAAGAUUUAUCGGUGUGAGAUGGGCCCGCGGCCUAUCAGCUUGUUGGUGGGGUAAUGGCCUACCAAGGCGACGACGGGUAGCCGACCUGAGAGGGUGACCGGCCACACUGGGACUGAGACACGGCCCAGACUCCUACGGGAGGCAGCAGUGGGGAAUAUUGCACAAUGGGCGGAAGCCUGAUGCAGCGACGCCGCGUGAGGGAUGAAGGCCUUCGGGUUGUAAACCUCUUUCAGCAGGGACGAAGCGUGAGUGACGGUACCUGCAGAAGAAGCACCGGCUAACUACGUGCCAGCAGCCGCGGUAAUACGUAGGGUGCGAGCGUUGUCCGGAAUUACUGGGCGUAAAGAGUUCGUAGGCGGUUUGUCGCGUCGUUUGUGAAAACCCGGGGCUCAACUUCGGGCUUGCAGGCGAUACGGGCAGACUUGAGUGUUUCAGGGGAGACUGGAAUUCCUGGUGUAGCGGUGAAAUGCGCAGAUAUCAGGAGGAACACCGGUGGCGAAGGCGGGUCUCUGGGAAACAACUGACGCUGAGGAACGAAAGCGUGGGUAGCAAACAGGAUUAGAUACCCUGGUAGUCCACGCCGUAAACGGUGGGCGCUA